rnacentral:rRNA from 1 species
AUACGGAGGGUGCAAGCGUUAAUCGGAAUUACAGGGCGUAAAGCGCGCGUAGGCGGUUUGAUAAGUCGGAUGUGAAAGCCCGGUGCUCAACCCCGGAACUGCAUUCGAAACUGGAGGCUUGAAUACGGGAGAGGGAAGCGGAAUUCCUGGUGUAGAGGUGAAAUUCGUAGAUAUCAGGAGGAACACCAGUGGCGAAAGCGGCUUCCUGGCCCGAUAUUGACGCUCAUGUACGAAAGCGUGGGGAGCAAACAGGAUUAGAAACCCCAGUAGUCC